AUUGAACGCUGGCGGAAUGCUUUACACAUGCAAGUCGAACGGCAGCACGGAGAGCUUGCUCUCUGGUGGCGAGUGGCGAACGGGUGAGUAAUAUAUCGGAACGUAUCCAAUAAUGGGGGAUAACGAGUCGAAAGAUUCGCUAAUACCGCAUACGCCCUACGGGGGAAAGCAGGGGAUCGUAAGACCUUGCGUUAAUGGAGCGGCCGAUAUCUGAUUAGCUUGUUGGUGAGGUAAAGGCUCACCAAGGCGACGAUCAGUAGCUGGUUUGAGAGAACGACCAGCCACACUGGAACUGAGACACGGUCCAGACUCCUACGGGAGGCAGCAGUGGGGAAUUUUGGACAAUGGGGGCAACCCUGAUCCAGCCAUUCCGCGUGAGUGAAGAAGGCCUUCGGGUUGUAAAGCUCUUUCGCAAGGGAAGAAAACUUAUGAUCGAAUAAAUCAUGAGGUUGACGGUACCUUGAUAAGAAGCACCGGCUAACUACGUGCCAGCAGCCGCGGUAAUACGUAGGGUGCGAGCGUUAAUCGGAAUUACUGGGCGUAAAGCGUGCGCAGGCGGUUUUGUAAGUCGGAUGUGAAAUCCCCGGGCUCAACCUGGGAACUGCGUUCGAAACUGCAAGGCUAGAGUGUGUCAGAGGGGGGUAGAAUUCCACGUGUAGCAGUGAAAUGCGUAGAGAUGUGGAGGAAUACCAAUGGCGAAGGCAGCCCC
rnacentral:rRNA from 1 species